rnacentral:lncRNA from 1 species
UUAAUGUGGAAAUUACAGAUGACGAUAGGAAAUGAUAAAAUGCAUUAACUGAUUGUAGUGGCUAGUCGGUCCUAGUUCCCGCAUAGAGUAGUAUAGAGUGUCAUGCGGGCAGGCUGGUCUAGAGCCACUUCACUGAGUAACUUGUUGCUCACCCCUCCAUUUCCAUUUUUUCCUGUGCGCAGGACUGUAAGUAGAAGUAUAUGGAUGUGGGUGUGACGGUAUUUCAAAGAAGGUUAUGCGCUCGUCUCUCGGGACCAGUAACGGGAUACGUAGGGUUGUCUAAAUGAGUAGACACGUGUCCAUAACGCCCCUUCGAUAACCCCGGUCGGACGCCGGGGGAUCGGGCUGUUACAAUUGGUAUCAGAGCGGGUUAAGAUCCCUUAGUUCUGUCCUAAGGGAUCAGCAUUUCCGACGUUUUCGAAAAAAAAAAAAAAAAAAAAAAAAAAAAAAAAAAAACUUGUUUUCAUUAAAAGAAAAGAGUUUGUAAAAGUUUUGUUUCUUCUAACACUCCUGGAAAUGAUUUCAAAACCACCCAUUAUAUCUAUACGUUAUUAUGAUUUUGAUCGGAUCCAUUGUAUUUGCAAAAUUUCUUUUUGAGCUUAAUUCAUUCAUUGGUUUUUAAAAGAUCCCCGAGCAAAGUUGUUCUCGCCUUGUGUGCCUCCCUUGUAUGAUGUGUGAUUGUGUGAGUUCCUUUUGUUAUCGGAUGUUAAGUUUGGAAGUCUAGGGCUUGGAAUUCGGGGACGAAUUCCGAUUAACAGGGGAGAAUUGUAACGGCCCGGUUCCUAGCCCAAAAAUUUUCUUAAGGAGAGCCCGUUAAGACUGCAGCCCAUUAGGGUAAAUGACCUAGGGUUCCCUCCUUUUCCUAUAAAUAAAGCUGCCUCCUCU